rnacentral:rRNA from 1 species
CUCUUCCAGAGUAUCAAUUGGAGGGCAAGUCUGGUGCCAGCAGCCGCGGUAAUUCCAGCUCCAAUAGCGUAUAUUAAACUUGUUGCAGUUAAAAAGCUCGUAGUUGAAUUUCUGCUGUAUCGUUAUCUUCUGCUUGACAGUUUGAUUUCGUUAUGGCUUAGUUGGGUCACUUUGUGUCCCGGCGUUUACUUUGAGAAAAUUAGAGUGCUUCAAGCAGGCUUUUGCCUUGAAUACUUUAGCAUGGAAUAAUGGAGUAGGACUUUGGUUCUAUUUUGUUGGUUUUAGGAGCCAGAGUAAUGGUUAAUAGGAACAGUUGGGGGCAUUCGUAUUUGACUGUCAGAGGUGAAAUUCUUAGA